CCCUUAGAUGUUCUGGGCCGCACGCGCGCUACACUGUUCGACGCAGCGAGUCUUAACCUUGACCGAAAGGUUUGGGUAAUCUUCAGCAAAGUCGAACGUGAUGGGGAUCGAUCAUUGCAAUUAUUGAUCGUGAACGAGGAAUUCCUAGUAAGUGCAAGUCAUCAGCUUGCGCUGAUUACGUCCCUGCCCUUUGUACACACCGCCCGUCGCUACUACCGAUUGAAUGGUUUAGUGAGAUCUUUGGAUUGGCGCUGUGGGGGUGGCAACGCUCCUUCAGAUUGCUGAGAAAUUGCUCAAACUUGAUCAUUUAGAGGAAGUAAAAGUCGUAACA
rnacentral:rRNA from 1 species